CCUACGGGGGGCUGCAGUGGGGAAUAUUGGACAAUGGGGGGAACCCUGAUCCAGCCAUGCCGCGUGUGUGAAGAAGGCCCUCGGGUUGUAAAGCACUUUCAGUGAGGAAGAACGCCUGGUGGUUAAUACCCAUCAGGAAAGACAUCACUCACAGAAGAAGCACCGGCUAACUCCGUGCCAGCAGCCGCGGUAAUACGGAGGGUGCGAGCGUUAAUCGGAAUUACUGGGCGUAAAGCGCGCGUAGGUGGCUUGAUAAGCCGGUUGUGAAAGCCCCGGGCUCAACCUGGGAACGGCAUCCGGAACUGUCAAGCUAGAGUGCAGGAGAGGAAGGUAGAAUUCCCGGUGUAGCGGUGAAAUGCGUAGAGAUCGGGAGGAAUACCAGUGGCGAAGGCGGCCUUCUGGACUGACACUGACACUGAGGUGCGAAAUCGUGGGUAGCAAACAGGAUUAGAUACCCUUGUAGUC
rnacentral:rRNA from 1 species